ncrna:unclassified sequences pemK RNA
AUAAUGAUACUUCCGUAAUUCGCGGCCCGGCCAUGAAGAAGGCGGGGAGGUGAGACUCCUAUGG